rnacentral:misc_RNA from 1 species
GUGAAAUUAAAGAUGAAUGCACUAGGCAAAGUACAUAUGACACAUAUUAUGAUUCUUUAGACUUAAAGGAAUAUCCUGUAAAUACUGAAACUGAACAACAUGGGAAUACAUUUGACUCAUUUGAAAAAAACCCAAAAAUUGAAGAAGGGUUUUGGGGAUUAUAAAUUUCAUCAUUCUCUUGAACUAAUAAUAUCAGUUUUUCAAUUUCCACUUAAAUGUGAACCUGAAAGUAAGGCUGAUGUCAAAAUUUGACCUGUAGAAGAGUAUUGACUUGACGCUGUCAAGUCCUUUGUACUUAAAGGAUCCACCUAUGUGAAAACUUAAAACCACCUCAAACCACCGAGAGGCCAAUCUCCAACCAAUAGUCACUUUGGGGAACAAGCUUUUUGGGGACAUUCCGGCUCCUUUCCUUUUUGUCUUCGCACCUGGGUCUACAGGAGUUAUGGUUUUUGAAACCAUCCUGGUGCUCAUUUCCGGAGAUGCAGCAGCAACCUCUUUAGGAGUCGUUCGGGUUUGGUUGGGAACAAUCAGUGUGGUGAUAUGAGUAUCUAUUGUGGUUUAUAUUGCAGACAUUUGGUUGAUGUAUUAUGUUAAUAAUUGUUUUUUUUUUUCAGAUUUAGCUUGCAUUUAUUUGUUUUUUUAUAUACAUAAAAGUUAAGUACGUUCCCAAACUCAUGUAUAAACCUGCGGUAUCGUAUGUUGAGCUCGGCAUAUUUGCCAAAAAUGUAUUAGGUUUUUAUAUUUUAUUGGUAAUUUAGUCGAUUUCAUGUCAUUUUGUAAAUUUAGGUUGUAUUAUUUGCUUGUUUCCCAAGUAUUUCGUCGUUACUUUAUUUCAUUGCAUUUGCUCGGUUAAUUUAAGUCGUUGUAUAUUUACCUAACUUCAUUUCUUUAGCGUUCAUUCAUUAACUUUGAUUAAUUCAUUAUAGUAUUUUCUCGUAGUCAGGCUUAUGCCUAUUUAUUUAUAUUAUUUUCAUCUUUGUCGGUGUCAAUUUAGUGGUACGUAGUAAGCGUACUAUAACCAUUUGCUAGAAAUCUCAUGUGAGUUGUACCCUAUGUAUAAGUAAGAGGUAUAUCUUUUUGUACAUACAUAUAACAGGACUGUUGUUAUAUUAUAUAUCAUGUUGAACGAUAACUUUUGUCAUGUUAGAGUCACAUUAUAUUCAAUUUGAUUUAACUCAGAGAUUGUUAAAAAUCUAGUAGUUAUUUUUUAUAAAUGUUGAUUCAUUUUGUAUAUCAUUUAUUUUUAUUAUUCCUUUAUAUUUACAUUUACUUAUAUAUUUAAUAUUUGACAGCAGUGUAAGAUACCUGGGAGAGUGAUCGAAGAUCAUUUUCUUGGCGCCCAUAAUUUGUUAGUGUUAUUUAAUUUGUUCUUCUUUAGCAAUUAUUCUCCUUUAUUUAUUUUCAGAACAUUAUUCUUAUCUUACUAUAUAUCUUUUCUAGUCAUCAUUAUCUACUUUGAGCUACUGUUCUUCGACAGGCAUGCAAACGAGCCGGAUCCAUCUGUCUCUUCAUACUUCUACUUCUAUCUAAGGGAGGGGUCCAUGGGGUCUGGACCCCUCCCAAAACUACCUCGGCUUUUGUACCAAGGCAGCAAGUUUAUCCAUAAGUUAUUAACAUUUUUGAAAAAGUGAACGUAAUUAUUAUUAUUUUUGACUAGGGUCAGGUCUUUUCAAUCUUCUUUCAUGCAAAAUGUUGAGCAGGUCCGUGGCGAGCGGGUUUGGAUGUCAGGAUAGUCUGGUCUUAUAUGUGGAAUUUACAGCGGAUAUUGCUUCGCUAACAGUUGGUAGCUGCAGGUCGUGGUGUAAUCUGUGGUUCGUAACAUACCAAGGGGCAUUGCAGAUCUGGCGCAAUACUUUUGAUUGGAAUCGUUGAAGUUUUUGAAUGUUAGUUUUACUUGCUGUUCCCCAUAUUUGUGCUGCAUAUAGCCAUAUUGGUUUUAAAAUACAUUUAUAAAUCAAAAGUUUGUUUUCCAGGCUGAGAUUUGAUUUUCGACUCAUGUACAGCUGGUUCCAAAAAAACUGAUACGACUCUUAAAACGUAUUUUGUAGAAAAUUGAGCAGUGUACUUUCUUCUUCCUCUUCUUUUUGUUUUUGGUCUCGCUGCAAGGCAAUUACCAGCACGAUUUAUAGGCGAUCUUGAUGUAGUAUGUCUCUAAGCCAUAUCAAAAUCGCUGACUAUGUUCUUGUAAAAAGCUUUUGAUGAGGUGUGAUAUAAUGAAUAUGAGUUUAAUUAUAUUUAAUUUAUUAUAUUUUGAAGGAUAAAUACUUAUUAUUUACAUACUGUCACUGUUACUACCAAAUCUUAAAAUUGGUCAGAUAACUUCAACCUCAAAAAAUGGCUGUUUGUUUGUUUAUUUUAUUAUUUGUCUGUCAUAAUAAAUAUAAUAUAAUGUCAGACCAAUCAUACACUGCUCAAAAUGAUCAAAUCUUACUAAGAGUCGUAUCAGUUUUUUUAGGAACCAGCUGUAUCAAUACAUUUUCCUGUAGAUUAAGCUGAGUUGAAGACGUUUCUUCCAGAUGUGGGUGCCCCAAUUAAGUUUAUUGUCUAAAUGAAUUCCCAGGUAUUUUACGACGGUAUUGACUGGUAGUGGAGCGUUAUUUAUAGAAACCGGUAGCCCGACACCUUUUAAAGUAAAUGUUAUCUGUGUUGAUUUUAAACUGUUGACUUGGACUCGCCACAGUUUAAGCCAGUUCUCUAGUUUAAAAAAAUGAUUUUGCAAUACCUCGAAUGCUUCUGUUGCUACAGAAUUUGAAGACAUGAUAACUGUGUCAUCCGCAUAUCGUCGCCUCAAAGCAAC